rnacentral:rRNA from 1 species
UGAAGAGUAGGUACAGUGGGGCAGGGAAGAGGAAGGGUGCGAUGUUGAAACGGGAGUUCGGGUGGUGAGGGGUGCGGAGGCGGGUCUUGAGGUGUGGUGUGAAAUCCGCGGGGGCAACCGGGGAAUGGCAGUGGAUACUGGUGAGUUAGAGGGUGAUAGAGGGAGGUGGAAUUCGCGGUGGAGCGGUGAAAUGCGGAGAGAUCGGGAGGAACAUCAGUGGCGAAGGCGGCCAUCUGGAUCAACACUGACGCUGAGGCACGAAAGCGUGGGGAGCAAACAGGUUUAGAUACCCCGUAGUC